rnacentral:misc_RNA from 1 species
AUGUGGCUGUCAUGACCUUUUCCAUCCGGGCUUCCAUUGCGGGGCUAUCGGCGGACUCGAAAGGGAUGCGUGUGGUCCUCGUUUAGCUGGUCAUUGUGACGGCUCUCGUGGCUCGCAUGCAUCUUACCGUUCUCUUGGAUGCGGCGAAAGCGGGCUGAUUGCCCCGUUGUGUCCCUUUAAAUUUUCGGUUGCGUUGAACGACGCUUGCUGUUGUGCCUUCUUUGCUUCUCCAUUCGUGGUGGCAACCCUCGCACGAUGCGCAGAGUCGUUGAUGGAUGCUACCUGGUUGAUCCUGCCAGUAGUCAU